AUUGAACGCUGGCGGCAGGCCUAACACAUGCAAGUCGAGCGAGCGGCGGACGGUUGAGUAAUGUAUGGGGACUGCCCGAUAGAGGGGGAUAACUACUGGAAACGGUGGCUAAUACCGCAUACUAUAGGAUAACCCAUAUGGGAUUAUAUAGUGGGUGGGGUAAAGGCUCACCUAGGCGACGAUCUCUAGCUGGUCUGCGAGGAUGAUCAGCCACACUGGGACUGAGACACGGCCCAGACUCCUACGGAGGCAGCAGUGGGGAAUAUUGCACAAGGGGCGCAAGCCUGAUGCAGCCAUGCCGCGUGUAUUAAGAAGGCCUUAGGGUUGUAAAGCACUUUAAGUUGGGAGGCGUUACCAACAGAAUAAGCACCGGCUAACUUCGUGCCAGCAGCCGCGGUAAUAC
rnacentral:rRNA from 1 species